CACGUAGGCACCAAGCGUUGUCCGGAUUUAUUGGGCGUAAAGAGCUCGUAGGCGGUUCAGUAAGUCGGGUGUGAAAACUCUGGGCUCAACCCAGAGACGCCACCCGAUACUGCUGUGACUUGAGUACGGUAGGGGAGUGGGGAAUUCCUGGUGUAGCGGUGAAAUGCGUAGAGAUCGGGAAGAACAUCGGUGGCGAAAGCGCUCUACUGGACCGCAACUGACACUCAGGGACGAAAGCUAGGGGAGCGAAUGGG
rnacentral:rRNA from 1 species